rnacentral:rRNA from 1 species
UACAGAGGGGGCAAGCGUUGUUCGGAAUUACUGGGCGUAAAGGGCGCGUAGGCGGCCUGCUAAGUCGAACGUGAAAUCCCUGGGCUCAACCCAGGAACUGCGUCCGAUACUGGUUGGCUUGAAUCCGGGAGAGGGACGUGGAAUUCCAGGUGUAGCGGUGAAAUUCGUAGAUAUCGAGAGGAACACCGGUGGCGAAGGCGGGUCUCUGGGCCGAUACUGACGCUGAGGAGCGAAAGCGUGGGGAGCAAACAGG